UACGGGGGGGGCAAGCGUUGUUCGGGAUUACUGGGCGUAAAGGGCUUGUAGGUGGCCAACUAAGUCAGACGUGAAAUCCCUCGGCUUAACCGGGGAACUGCGUCUGAUACUGGAUGGCUUGAGUGUGGGAGAGGGAUGCGGAAUUCCAGGUGUAGCGGUGAAAUGCGUAGAUAUCUGGAGGAACACCGGUGGCGAAGGCGGCAUCCUGGACCAUUACUGACACUGAAAAGCGAAAGCCAGGGGAGCAAACGGG
rnacentral:rRNA from 1 species